AUUGAACGCUGGCGGCAGGCCUAACACAUGCAAGUCGAACGAGUGGCGGACGGGUGAGUAAUGUCUGGGAAACUGCCUGAUGGAGGGGUAUAACUACUGGAAACGGUAGCUAAUACCGCAUACCAUCGGAUGUGCCCAGCUGGGAUUAGCUAGUAGGUGGGGUAACGGCUCACCUAGGCGACGAUCCCUAGCUGGUCUGAUAGGAUGACCAGCCACACUGGAACUGAGACGCUGUCCAGAGUCCUACGGGAGGCGGCAGUGGGGAAUAUUUAACAAUGGGCGCAAGCCUGAUGCAGCCAUUCCGGGUGUAUGAAGAAGGCCUUCGGGUUGUAAAGUACUUUCAGCGAGGAGGCGUUACUCGCAGGAGAAGCACCGGCUAACUCCGUGCCAGCAGCCGCGGUAAUUG
rnacentral:rRNA from 1 species